rnacentral:rRNA from 1 species
CAUAGCGACUAUCGUGGCAUAUCAAUAAGCGGAGGAAAAGAAACUAACUAGGAUUCCCUUAGUAACGGCGAGUGAAGCGGGAAGAGCUCAAAUUUGAAAUCUUCAAGGUUUUACCUUGACGAAUUGUAGUUUAAAGAAGUGUUUUCUGUUGGAGUUUUGGUAAAAGUUCUUUGGAAUAGGACAUCAUAGAGGGUGAGAAUCCCGUAUUUGGUCAUUCUUCCUAGCGUUGUGAUACACUUUCAACGAGUCGGAUUGUUUGGGAAUGCAGUCCAAAAUGGGUGGUAAAUUUCAUCUAAAGCUAAAUAUUGGCGAGAGACCGAUAGCGAACAAGUACCGUGAGGGAAAGAUGAAAAGAACUUUGAAAAGAGAGUUAAACAGUACGUGAAAUUGUCAAAAGGGAAGCGUUUGACACCAGUGUUGUUUUCUCGAAAAUCAAUUACGAAUGUUUUAUUUUUGAGGAGUUGUGACUUCAUCGGCUUGCUUCUCUCUUUAUGAAACUUUCUUAAUGCACUUUUCGGUUAACAAGUCAACAUCAAUUUCUUUUGUUGUAAAAGGGUAUGAGGAAGGUGGCUUUCUUUUCGGAGAAAGUGUUUAUAGCCUUGUACCUCUGCAAUCGGAGAGAUUGAGGUCUGCAGCGUAGAUCCUUCGGGGUUAGAUACAUUUGUGCUAAGUUAUAGCUUUUCAUAGACAACUUGUUGACUAUGUUAAGUCUUGUAGCUUACUCGCUUAUGCUAUUUUACCUACGCUUAGGAUGUUGACGAGACUGUCGAUCUC